rnacentral:lncRNA from 1 species
CCUGGCUCAUUAAAAUCUGAAUUGUCGGCCAGGUGUGAUGGUUCACACCUGUAAUCCCAGUUACUCGGGAGGCUAAGGCAGGAGAAUCGCUUGAAUCUGGGAGGAGUAGGCUGCAGUGAGCUGAGACGGCGCCACUGCACCCCAGCCUGGGCGACAGAGUGAGACUUCGUCUCAAAAAAAAAAAAAAAAAAUCUGGAUUGUCCAGUGCGGCUUCCGUUGACGGUUGCCCGCGGGGAUAUAGGAACAUGGCGGCCUCCCCUCCGGCAAUCACAGAAGUAGCUGAAAAGGAGGAAAGUAAUGCCCAGGGGAAUCCAGUGUGGGAUUAUGACAAGCAAUGGCAGUUAGCUGGAUUUGCUGCCACUUUUUGCACAACAAGGGAAGUGUUUUAAUUGGCUUUGCGCUUCCUGCUUUACAACAGUUCUGGCCUCACAUUACCAGGACCUGUGGUGGAAAAGUCCUGGACUGGUCAGCCUGUGAGCCUGUAACAUGGAGAGAGUGGAACCAGAACAAACUGUCUAGAACAACCAGACAAUAA